rnacentral:rRNA from 1 species
AACGAACGCUGGCGGCGUGUUUAAGACAUGCAAGUCGCACGGGAUAAGACAUGUAGUAAUACUUGUUUUAUUUAGUGGCGCACGGGUGAGUAACACGUGAAUUACAUGCCCUAUAGUGGGGAAUAGCCCAGGGAAACUUGGAUUAAUACCCCAUGGUAUCGAAAGAUUAAAGGUGGCCGCAAGGCUGUCGCUAUAGGAUUGGUUCGCGCCCUAUCAGCUUGUUGGUGAGGUAACGGAUCACCAAGGCAAUGACGGGUACCUGGUCUGAGAGGACGAUCAAGCACACUGGAACGGAGACACGGUGCAGACACCUACGGGUGGCAGCAGUCGAGAAUAAUUCACAAUGGGGGCAACCCUGAUGGUGCAACGCCGCGUGGAGGAUGACGGUCUUCGGAUUGUAAACUCCUGUCAUCUGGGAGAAAGACCUGACGGUAAAUAGCCGGCAGGGUUGAUAGUACCAGAAGAGGAAGGGACGGCUAACUUCGUGCCAGCCGCCGCGGUAA